UACGAAGGGUGCAAGCGUUAAUCGGAAUUACUGGGCGUAAAGGGCGCGUAGGCGGGAUGGCAAGUCGGUCGUGAAAUCCCUCGGCUCAACCGAGGAACGUCGAUCGAUACUGCUGUUCUUGAGGAUUGCAGAGGAGACUGGAAUUCCCGGUGUAGCGGUGAAAUGUGUAGAGAUCGGGAGGAACACCGGUGGCGAAGGCGGGUCUCUGGGCAAUUCCUGACGCUGAGGCGCGAAAGCGUGGGGAGCAAACGGG
rnacentral:rRNA from 1 species